rnacentral:rRNA from 1 species
GAUGAACGCUGGCGGCGUGCCUAAUACAUGCAAGUCGAGCGAACAGACGAGGAGCUUGCUCCUCUGACGUUAGCGGCGGACGGGUGAUUCACACGUGGAUAACCUACCUAUAAGACUGGGAUAACUUCGGGAAACCGGAUCUAAUACCGGAUAAUAUAUUGAACCGCAUGGUUCAAUAGUGAAAGUCGGUUUUGCUUUCACUUAUAGAUGGAUCCGCGCCGCAUUAGGUAGUUGGUAAGGUAACGGCUUACCAAGGCGACGAUGCGUACCCGACCUGAGGGGGAGGAUGGCUAGACGGGACGUGAGGAAGGGCCGCGACACUGGGAGGAGGAAACGGUAGAGAAUCUUCCGGAAGGGGGGAAGGGCGAAUGGUGCAACGCGGGGGGAAGGAUGAAGGACUACUGACCGUAGAGUGAUGAAGGUAUGAGGGAACAAAUGUUCAAUUAACUGGGAAGGUAUUGACGGUACCGGGUGAAAAAGCCCCGGCUAACUACGUG